UACGUAGGGUGCGAGCGUUAAUCGGAAUUACUGGGCGUAAAGCGUGCGCAGGCGGUUAUUUAAGUCAGGUGUGAAAGCCUUGGGCUUAACCUAGGAAUUGCGCUUGAGACUGGAUAGCUUGGAGUGCGGCAGAGGGAGGUGGAAUUCCACGUGUAGCAGUGAAAUGCGUAGAGAUGUGGAGGAACACCGAUGGCGAAGGCAGCCUCCUGGGCCAGCACUGACGCUCAUGCACGAAAGCGUGGGGAGCAAACAGG
rnacentral:rRNA from 1 species